rnacentral:lncRNA from 1 species
AUGACAUCUAGGAUACUCUUCUUACUGUGUGUGUGUGCUUCAUCUCUUAGAUCACUUCAUCAUGGUCGUCAUCGUUGUAGCCGUGGCGGCGCUCACCCUUUCAGUUGCAGCAAUAGUCACCGUAAUGCUGGUAAGACGCCACAUGCGCCGUCAGCAACAAGGGGUGUACUCCGUGCCUGUGGAACAGCAUCAGAAAGGGGUCUAGAGACUGGCGACUACUCGGUCCCACGGCCGACAGCAAUCAAACGCACCACUACAGUCCUUCGACCUUCUCCACUCAUGACAGAGAGGUCGGCGUCCAACCUGUCCCACAGAAUGAUUGACAGCAUUCUUUUGAGCGUUGUGUCCAUUGUGGCUUUUUUAUUUUUACAUUCCUUGUUCUCCCUGUGUAGUAGAUUUAAAAUACAUUUGGGUUGUUUUAAAUUGGCUGACAAUUGA